AUGGCGUCGCUGCUCCGCCUCCAGGCCCUCUCCCUGACGCUAACCUCUCCCCGCCGCCUCCCCUCCCGUAUCCUCCGUUCCGUGUCCCCGGUGUCUCCGCUCGCUCGCCGCCUCUCCGCCGCCGCCUCCCCGGAGCAGCGGGCCUCGGAAACGGAUUUGGAGUCAGGAUUGUAUCUAGUGGCGACACCCAUCGGGAACCUCGAAGAUAUCACCUUGAGGGCAUUGCGUGUUCUUAAAUGUGCUCAUGUGAUACUCUCUGAAGACACAAGGCAUUCGGGAAAGUUGCUUCAACAUUACAAUAUCAAGACACCUCUUCUCAGCUUCCAUAAGUUCAACGAGCGUGAGAGAGAGCCCAGUAUCUUGAAGAGGCUCCAUGAAGGGGAAGCAGUUGCAGUGAUUAGUGAUGCUGGUACCCCAGGCAUCAGUGACCCUGGCAUGGAACUGGCUAGAGUAUGUGCCAGUGAAAAGAUCCCUGUUAUUCCCAUUCCUGGGCCUUCUGCCGCAAUCGCUGCUCUUUCUGCAUCGGGUUUGCCAACUGAUGAAUUCACAUUUGUGGGUUUUUUACCAAAGCAUGGUCGAUCAAGAAAAGUCAGGCUUGAGGUAUCUGCUCGUGAAGGUGCUACACAAAUAUUCUAUGUUCCUCCUCAUGGAAUUCAUCAAUUUCUUUCUGAUGCUGCUUCGUCUUUUGGUGAUUCAAGGCCAUGUGUUAUUGCAAGGGAGAUAACCAAAUUGCAUGAAGAGUUUUGGCGAGGAACUCUAGGUGAAGCAAAUGAAGCCUUCGCAACUCGACAGCCGAAAGGGGAAAUCACUUUGCUCAUAGAGGGAAACUCAAUUUCAGCUGAUGAAACUCCAUCUGAUGAUUUCCUUGAGCAUGAACUCAAAGAAAUGAUGGCAGAGGGGCAUGCUCUUUCAUCGGCGGUUAAAUUGGUGGCUGAAGCUACAUCGGCAAAGAAGAAAGAUGUUUAUGCACUAGCACUUAGGUUGUUUGGAAAAUGAGUAAAAGUGCAAUCCGUUUGCUUGUUCUGGUAAUUAAACUAUUUGUUCAUGCCAACAUCUUUACCAUGGUACUUUCUAGACCAUAUUCCAAACACCAAAAAACACCAUACACCAUAAUUCACCUGAGCUGCUCCUGCUAGCUUGUGCGCGCCAACUUACCGAGCAUACAAGGUUUUCUUUCUUGACGAUCUAAUCAUGCAAUCUACUGUUUCCCCAGUCUUGAAUAAUUUUCCAUGCUAUAUCGUGUUUAUCUGUCGAGGCGCUAGUAAUUGAAUUGGAUGUAAUUUUGGAUAAGGAGCUCCGUGUGGGGCAGUUCAAAUGCCUAUGACCUACCUACUGGUCCAUUUAGUCAUUUGGUUAAGCAGUAUUGGUAACAAUUCGGAAGCAGAUCAGAAGCAGUAUGGGUAACAAUUUGGAAGCAAUCAGAAGUAGCCAGCAUCAAUUAAUUUGGGCCAGAGGGAGUACUAGAUUUUUCACGUGAAGUUGCUGAGUAGAUGUAUUUUAAGGUGCGGCUCUUGCCCGUAGUUUGAGCUAUUUUCCAUUGGGUCGCUUUGAGUAGAGGUCUUUAUUUCGCUGCUUUGGUUGUGUAACAAAACUCUGUUAUUGUUUGCAUGUCAUCUAAACAAACCUGAUGGAGCUAUAUGUAUGUCCUGAAUAUC